GAAUUCUACAAAAUAAUAAUAAUAAAGCAACAGUGGCAGUAUGAAAAAGUGGGGUAUGUGAAGAAGUAUGAUCAUGAAUUGCAAUUGCAGUAAUGAAGAGAUACCAAAGGUGCUCAACCCAAUGGCUGCCUCGCUGGCAUUCUUUCCCAACAUGGAGGCCUGCCAUACUGUUAUCCAGGCUCCCUUUCCGGCCUACCAGGUAAGAUUCAUUACAGCUCUCUUUUGCUAGAAAUGUGUAAUGAGUUGAUAGAAGACUAUUAGCCAAAGA
rnacentral:lncRNA from 11 species